GUGUUUGGUUUGUUUGGGUUGGUUGGAUCCCUGCUUGCGCAGCGACGACCCGUCCUUCUUACCUCUUCAGUUCUUGUUCCAAGAUCGUCACGACCUUGGAUCGAAUCGGUUUUCUGUGUUGCGUACCAACGUGGAUGGAAUUGUCCCUCGUCGACUCGCCCCGUAUUCUUCUUGCGCUGCUCACGCGGCGCGAGCUGAACCGUGUAGCGUCCCUCGUUGUCUCUUCCCGGCUUGCGUUCACGUACUGCCGAGCGAAACGGCCAACGUAGUAUCGACGCUCGAAAUUUCGGAUGCGGACCCUUAAGCGGACAAAAAGGGGCCUUCGGUCCCCGGUUGGUCCAAACUCGCUUCUUACGAACGACUGUCGGCCCUGUUUCGAGAUGCGGAUCGUUUCGAUCCCGCAGGCUCGUGCGGGUUCGGCGUCGAAGAGGAAUG
rnacentral:misc_RNA from 1 species